AUGUUAAACUUAGAAUCACUCUGUUCCCUGCUCUGCGUUUCUAUUUUUUGUUUUUCCUCCAUUUACUAGUAGCUUAACACUUUCUAACAGUGUUCUUAUUAUUGAUACGUAUCUAUCUCUUCCAUAAGCUUAUAAGGUCACGGAUAAUACUUCUCAUUGUAGUACGUAAAUGACGUGGGCUAGAUAUGAGUUGAAUAAACAGUUAUACCUGUAAAUUCUUACAGAGUGAAAAUAAAUUGUUAUACUUUACAAUUUGUUUCUCUCUUUAGACCAUUUCCAGGACUUGUGAUUAAUAACCGUGAGUAUUUUGUGAAGUGUUUUGUUUUUGUUUUUUCCUGGGGUCUGACGUGUGUGCGUGUGAGUGUGUAUACAUGCUUAACGUAUAUCACGUUACUUCACCUAUGUCAGUAACCAGGCCAAAUACUUGUUUUAGCCCUCAGUAAAAACACCAGGCACUUCCUAGUUGUAAAAUUAUUCAAGCUUCUUAACUUCCUAUCCUCGAUGCACUUAAUCAUAAAAUGGUAAUAAUAGCACCGAUUUUGGGGGAGUCGUUCCAGUAGAUGGAAAGCAUCUGGAACAGGUGUCAGCAAGCUCCUGCCGACGUGUAUGCAUAAAGUUUUAUUGAAACCACCAUCGUGUCCAUUUGUUUAUGGCAGAACUGAGAGAUGGCAGCAGCAAGUGUGUGCCUGCAAAACCUAAAAUAUUUACUAAUUGGCUCUGCAAGAAAAGAGUUUGCAUCCCCCUAACCUAGAACAGUGUCUAGCCUCUAGUAUGUGUUUAGCCUACAGUAUGUGCUCAGCGAAUACAAUCUAUAUUUAUUACUGCUUUUAUGACUGUUAUAAUUACUGUGCUUGGAUUUCGUUACAAAGUAAGUCACAAUGUGCCUGCUUCUGUUAGUAUUUCAGCACAGUGCCUGGCACACAUGGGGCUCUCAAAUAUUGCUGAGCGAGUGAACAAAUGUCCUUUCAAUUCCUUAACGUUGAUGUCAUUUUCAAUAGUAUUUUGAGCCAAACUUAAUUUUGCGAGUGUGUUUUGUUUUCUUAACUUUAUUAUUAAAAAUGUAUAAAAGUGAGGCCAGGCGUGGUGGCUCACGCCUGUAAUCCCAGCAGUUUGGGAGGCUGAGGCAGGCGGAUCAGUUGAGGUUGGGAGUUGGAGACCAGCCCGUCCAACAUGGUGAAAGCCUGUCUCUACUAAAAAUACAAAAAUCAGCUGGGUGUGGUGGCGCGUGCCUGUAAUCCCAGCUACUCAGGAGGCUGAGGCAGGAGAGUUGCUUGAAUCCUAGAGGUGGAGGUUGCAGUGAGCUGAGAUCGUGCCAUUGCACUCCAGCCUGGGCAACAAGAGCAAAACUCUGUCCCAAUAAAUAAAUAAAUAAAAUGUUCUCUUUUGUUCCUGUUCUUGUGCGGUAGUGUGGUAUAGAGUUUUAUGGUAAUUACUGUGAAUUAGUGAUUCUGAGGGACAUAUCAGAACUCUGAGGUUUGUUUCCUUCUCAUCUUGAGGGAAACAGCAAAUGUAUGUUAAAAUGCUUUUCCAAGGGAACAACACAUCCUUACAUUAUUUAAACCAAUCUGCUUCAUUUUCAGAGCUGGUUGAUCAGAGUGAGUCAGAAGGCCCCGUGAUACAAGAAUCAGCUGAACCAAGCCAGUUGGAAGUUCCAGCCACAGAAGAAAUAAAAGAGACUGAUGGAAGCUCUCAGAUCAAGCAAGAACCAGACCCCACGUGGUAGACCUCUUCCCUCCUAGGGUAAAUCAGCUUCUGUGUCAGGGAUGCUGUGUGGCGUCCAUCUGAACCCCCUGCAUACGCGUAGCUAAUGUGAUCUCCCCACUUUCACAUAAGAUGGUGGCCCUGCCUUCAGGGAAUGUGGGAGCCAGGUGGGAGCCUUCCCGGAUAUUUAAGCUAGAAGAUUCUACAGGGAGAUUCUCCUUGGAUCAAUAUAUGUCUCUCAGUCAAAGAUGUAAAAGCACUUUUGCCUUAAAAAGAAUGUUCUGUUUCUAAAUAGAGUCAACGUUGUCCUCCUCAUUGGAAUUCACUAUGAGUCAGAAUCAUUAGACUGACUUUUUUUUUUCCAUAGUAAUAGUAUUUUGCAGAGUCUCACAGAGCUGCAGAUCUUUUGUUCAUCUUGCAGAGUUAACAAGUCUGAUCCUGUUAGUCCAGAUUUCUUAAAUUUGGCCAAGUUAUAAUAGGAGCAGUAGCUUGAGACCCGAAGUCAGGAAACUUUGACAAUGGAUUUUUUUUUUUAAUCCAGAGACUUGUACUGGAAUUUGCCUUACCCUGUCAGCUCAUGGACUUAAGGUUUCAUCCCGCUUUAUGAGUGCUUCUGAAUCCAAGUCAUUGUUACCUGAAUUUGCAAAUUAAGUUGUGAUAUUCGUGACUGUUAAAUUCCUGUAAUUAGAUUAACCUCUUUGCUUGCUUGUUUGUUUUCUCUCCUAUUUUAGCUUAAAGUAUCAGUGGUUGAGAAGAGCUUUUCGGACCUGUUACUACCCCAAGCUGUGUAAUAUACUUGUAUAACAGAAAUACCUUCUAUACAAACCUUUUUUUCUACUUUUAGAUAGAAAUGUCUACUUUUUCAGCAGUUCUGUGAAUUAAAGAGCAGAGUGACUGUGGGUCUGGAAUGGCUGGUGUACUUGGGAAUGUACUAUCAGGAUUUUACAGCAAUGCUGGGAAAUGACAGGGAAAAUGACAGGAAUGAAUCUCACCAGAUUUUUUAUGUACUCAGCAGAGCCUUGAGUUACGGUGUUUAUUUUCCAAUCAAGUGAAGAUAUCUCCUACUUCUCCUACUGGAACAUCUCAGCUUCUGCAGUGAAGAAAAAUUCCUGUGAUAGUUCAGUUCUUUAGUUUUUCUAUUUG
ensembl:lncRNA GTF2IP1 general transcription factor IIi pseudogene 1